AGUAACGGCGAGUGAAGCGGCAACAGCUCAAAUUUGAAAUCUGGCUCUUUCAGAGUCCGAGUUGUAAUUUGCAGAGGGCGCUUUGGCUUUGGCAGCGGUCCAAGUUCCUUGGAACAGGACGUCACAGAGGGUGAGAAUCCCGUACGUGGUCGCUAGCUAUUGCCGUGUAAAGCCCCUUCGACGAGUCGAGUUGUUUGGGAAUGCAGCUCUAAAUGGGAGGUAAAUUUCUUCUAAAGCUAAAUAUUGGCCAGAGACCGAUAGCGCACAAGUAGAGUGAUCGAAAGAUGAAAAGCACUUUGGAAAGAGAGUCAAACAGCACGUGAAAUUGUUGAAAGGGAAGCGCUUGCAGCCAGACUUGCUUGCAGUUGCUCAUCCGGGCUUUUGCCCGGUGCACUCUUCUGCAGGCAGGCCAGCAUCAGUUUGGGCGGUGGGAUAAAGGUCUCUGUCAUGUACCUCUCUUCGGGGAGGCCUUAUAGGGGAGGCGACAUACCACCAGCCUAGACUGAGGUCCGCGCAUCUGCUAGGAUGCUGGCGUAAUGGCUGUAAGCGGCCCGUCUUGAAACACGGACCAAGGAGUCUAACAUCUAUGCGAGUGUUUGGGUGUCAAGCCCGAGCGCGUAAUGAAAGUGAACGGAGGUGGGAACCCGCAAGGGUGCACCAUCGACCGAUCCUGAAGUUUACGGAAGGAUUUGAGUAAGAGCAUGGCUGUUGGGACCCGAAAGAUGGUGAACUAUGCUUGAAUAGGGUGAAGCCAGAGGAAACUCUGGUGGAGGCUCGCAGCGGUUCUGACGUGCAAAUCGAUCGUCAAA
rnacentral:rRNA from 1 species